GCCCAGAUGGCGAAAUUGGUAGACGCGCUAGUUUCAGGGACUAGUGUCAGCAAUGAUGUGCAGGUUCGAGUCCUGUUCUGGGCACCA
rnacentral:tRNA from 2 species